CAGCCGCCACGGUAGUACGAAGGGGGCUAGCGUUGUUCGGAAUCACUGGGCGUAAAGCGCACGUAGGCGGACUUUUAAGUCAGGGGUGAAAUCCCAAGGCUCAACCUUGGAACUGCCUUUGAUACUGGAAGUCUUGAGUUCGGGAGAGGUGAGUGGAAUUCCCAGUGUAGAGGUGAAAUUCGUAGAUAUUGGGAAGAACACCAGUGGCGAAGGCGGCUCACUGGACCGACACUGACGCUGAGGCGCGAAAGCGUGGGGAGCAAACAGGAUUAGAUACCCGCGUAGUCCCUGUCUCUUAUAC
rnacentral:rRNA from 1 species